AGUGAACGCUGGCGGUAGGCCUAACACAUGCAAGUCGAACGGCAGCACAGUAAGAGCUUGCGCUUACGGGUGGCGAGUGGCGUACGGGUGAGGAAUACAUCGGAAUCUACUUUUUCGUGGGGGAUAACGUAGGGAAACUUACGCUAAUACCGCAUACGACCUACGGGGGAAAGCAUGGGAUCUUCGGACCUUGCGCGGUUGAAUGAGCCGAUGUCGGAUUAGCUAGUUGGCGGGGUAAAGGCCCACCAAGGCGACGAUCCGUAGCUGGUCUGAGAGGAUGAUCAGCCACACUGGAACUGGGACACGGUCCAGACUCCUACGGGAGGGAGCAGUGGGGAAUAUUGGACAAUGGGCGCGAGCAUGAUCCAGCCAUACCGCGUGGGUGAAGAAGGCCUUCGGGUUGUAAAGCCCUUUUGUUGGGAAAGAAAAGCAGCAGGUUAAUACCACGCUGUUGUGACGGUACCCAAAGAAUAAGCACCGGCUAACUUCGUG
rnacentral:rRNA from 1 species